GGACCUUUAGCUCAGUUGGUCAGAGCUCCCGGCUCAUAACCGGUCGGUCCUAGGUUCGAGUCCUAGAAGGUCCACCA
rnacentral:tRNA from 1 species